CCCAAAAAAAAAAAAACCAUCCUCCGUCUCUCUUCCUCUCCCACAAGGAAGUCACCAAACUAACAUAUCCCGGACUCCCUCAUCUGUUUUCACUUCUCUUCUAGAGAGAGGAAGAAAUGACAGAAACCACGGGUUUCUCAAAACUCUCUGACGACGUCGUACUCAACAUCUUCUCCAAACUAGAAGACGAUCCACGCAACUGGGCCCGCCUCGCUUGUGUCUGCACCAAAUUCUCCUCUCUCAUACGCGACAUCUGCUGGAAAUCCAAAUGCAACAAAACCAUCCCUUCCGUCGUCUCCGAUCUCCUUUCCUCCCCUGACUCUCUUUUCCCUGGCGCCUGGUCUGCCCUCCACAAGCUUGCCGUCUGCUGCCCUGGCCUCCUCCACGCUGGUGUCUUCCUCGAGCACUCCGAUUUCGGCCUCGAACGCGAGCUCGGCCCCGACGAUUAUUUCCACAAAUCCAAAAACACUCCGUCCCAACAACCACAGCAAGCGUCUCAUUCCGGUUCUAAUUUAGACAAGCGCGACUCAUCCUGGUCCUUAUUUGAUGAUUUAUAUUACGACACUGUCUACAACGUGUACGAAUCACAGGAUGCGAUUACCGUUAGUUGUGAAGCGAAAGAAGAGGUAAUCGGUGGUAAUGAUGAUAAAAGUGUCGAUAUCUUCGUUAAGGCCCGCGGCAUCUCUUCUGUUGGCAAGAGAAGGAAGAUUUGUAGAUCUUUGAGUUCUCAUUUGGCAUCUGGUGUUUGGAAUUUGAGCAGAGAGCAAGGGAACAAGUUACUAGCGAGUCGGUUUCGAGGGGAUUGUUUGUACAUCUGUGACUGGCCUGGUUGUGCUCACAUCACAGAGAAGCGGAGUUAUAUGCUGUUUAGAGGGAUUUUUAAGAAUUUUAAGAAAUCGAGGGUCUGGAGGACGAUACAUGAUGGGGAUAGGAGCAAGAUUGAUUUGAGCUGUGCGUUUUGCGGGUGUCAGGAGACUUGGGAUUUGAAUUCUGCUUUUUGUUUGAAGAGAGGUUUUGGGUAUCAUGAUGAUGGUGAACCUGUUGUUCGAGCUUAUGUCUGUGAAAAUGGGCAUGUCUCCGGUGCUUGGACUGAUUGGCCAUUGUACACUUGAUGGUGCUAGCUGGGCUACCAGCUGAUUUUAUGAAACGAGGCUUAAUCCCAAAUACAGCUUCGCGGAUCCAACUCUGCGGUGAGUCAAAAUUUGCCUUUAAUUUUUUAUAUUUUGUCUUCCGCUUCUGCAAAAUUAGGUAUUUCGACAGUUUCUACAAUUAUUUUGGUAUUUCAUCUUCCCUUCAGCUUCUGCAAUUUGGUAUUUGCGUUCAGUUUUUGCAAAUUUGUUAUGUGUUUUGGAGUAAUCGUAUAAUUUCGAGAAGAUAUUUGUUUAGUUUCUGCAAUUUAGUAUUUUGUUUUCCGCUGCUUUUGCAUUCUGGUUAUCUGUGAUUGUUGAUUAUGGCUACUGAAAGAGAUGAUUCGCUUUAGUCUGUGAGUGUGAGGUUGGUUGGAAAGAACUAUUCGUAUUGGAGUUAUGUAAUGAGAAAUUUCUUUAAGGGUAAGAAAAUGUGGGGGUAUGUUAGUGAGAAUUAUAUAAUACCUAAGAAUAUUAAGGAGGGGGAUGUUGUUUUGAUAUAUACAUGGGAAACAAAUAAUGCAAAGAUCAUUACUUGGAUCAACAAUUCUGUUGAGCAUUCGAUAGGUAUGCAGUUGGCGAAGUAUGAGACAACAAAAGAGGUUUGGGAUCAUCUGCAAAGGUUAUUCACACAAUCAAACUUUGCAAAACAGUAUCAAUUAGAGAAUGACAUACGAGCUCUUCAUCAGAAGAAUAUGAGUAUCCAAGAGUUUUAUUCUGCUAUGAUAGAUCUUUGGGAUCAAUUGGCUCUUACAUAAUCGACAGAAUUAAAGACAUGUGGUGCCUAUAUUGAACGUAGAGAGCAAUAACGAUUGGUACAGUUUUUAACAGCACUUCGCAGUGAUUUCGAAGGACUUAGAGGUUCAAUUCUGCAUCGUUCUCCACUGUCUUCUGUUGACUCUGUUUUUAGUGAGUUAUUGGCUGAAGAAAUACGUCUUCAGUCUUAUUCUGAAAAGGGAAUUCUUUCUGCUUCAAAUCCUUCAGUAUUAGCAGUGCCUUCUAAACCAUUCUCUAAUCAUCAGAAUAAGCCUUACACAAGGGUUGGUUUCGAUGAGUGCAGUUUCUGUAAGCAGAAAGGUCAUUGGAAGGCUUAGUGUCCUAAGUUGAGACAGCAGAAUCAAGCUUGGAAGUCUGACAAUCCGUCACAAUCUAAUGCUCAUAGACCACCUCAGGGUUAUAAACCACAACAUCAUAAUACUGCAGCAAUAGCUUUUCCAGGCUCUAUUACUGAUCAUAAUAUUUUGGCUGAGCAAUUUUAGAAGUUUCUCUCCUUGCAGCCACAAGCAAUGUCCGCUUCUUUUUCCAUAGGUCAGUUGCCUCAUAGUUCCUCAGGUAUGUCACAUUCUGAAUGGGUUUUAGAUUCUGGUGUUUCCCAUCAUAUGUCUCCAGAUUCCUCAUCUUUUACCCCUGUAUCCCCCUUUGUCCUCCAUCCCUGUUAUGACUGCUGAUGACACUCAUAUACCCUUAGCAGGUGUUGGUUCUGUUGUCACAUCUCACAUCUCUCCUCACAACAUCAUAAUACUGCAGCAGUAGCUUCCCCAGGCUCUAUUACCGAUCCUAAUAUUUUGGCUGAGCAAUUUUAGAAGUUUCUCUCCUUGCAGCCACAAGCAAUAUCCACUUUUUCUUCCAUAGGUCAGUUGCCUCAUAGUUCCUCAAGUAUGUCACAUUCUGAAUGGGUCUUGGAUUCUGGUGUUUCCCAUCAUAUGUCUCUAGAUUCCUCAUCUUUUACCUCUGUAUCCCCUGUCCUCCAUCCCUGUUAUGACUGCUGAUGGCACUCAUAUGCCCUUAGCAGGUGUUGGUUCUGUUGUCACACUUCACAUGUCUCUCCUCACAACAUCAUAAUACUGCAGUAAUAACUUCCUCAGGCUCUAUUACCGAUCCUAAUAUUUUGGCUGAGCAAUUUCAGAAGUUUCUCUCCUUGCAGCCACAAGCAAUGUUUGUUUCUUCUUCUAUAGGUCAGUUGCCUCAUAGUUCCUCAGGUAUGUCACAUUCUGAAUGGGUCUUGGAUUCUGAUGCUUCCCAUCAUGUCUCCAGAUUCCUCAUCUUUUACCUCUGUAUCCCCUUUGUCCUCCAUCCCUGUUAUGACUGCUGAUGGCACUCAUAUGCCCUUAGCAGGUGUUGGUUCUGUUGUCACACCUCACAUGUCUCUCUCUAAUGUUUAUCUUAUUCCACAACUCAAACUGAAUCUUGCGUCUGUUGGUCAAAUAUAUGAUUCUGGUGAUUAUUUAGUCAUGUUUUCUGGUUCGUUUUAUUGUAUACAUGAUCUGCAGUCUCAGAAGCUGAUUGGGACAGGCUAUAGGGAGAAUGAACUUUAUAUUUUGGAUUAGUUAAAAGUACUAGUUGCUGCUGCUACCGCUGCUACUACUACCAUUGAUUUGUCUUCCUUUCGUUUGAGCCUUUCAUCUUCUAGUUUUUAUUUAUGGCAUUCCUGUCUAGGUCAUGUUUUGUCUUUUCGUUUGAGAUUUUUAGCAUGCAUAGGAGCUUUAGGAAAUUUAAAAACUUGUGACAUUUCUGAUUGUAGUGGAUGUAAAUUGGCAAAAUUUUCCGUCUUACCUUUUAAUCGAAGUAUUUCUGUUUCUUCUUCACCAUUUGAUUUGAUUCAUUCUGAUGUAUGAGAACCUUCUCCUGUUGUCACAAAAGGAGGGUCUCGAUAUUAUGUCUCUUUUAUUGAUGAUCAUACUCGUUAUUGUUGGGUUUAUUUAAUGAAACAUCAUUCUGAAUUCUUUAAGAUAUAUGCAGCUUUUCGAGCUCUUAUCAAAACUCAAUAUUCUGUUGUGAUCAAAUGUUUUAGGUGUGAUUUGGGUGGAAAAUACAUCUCUAAUAAAUUUUGCCAAUUGCUAGCCUUAGAUGGAACCAUCCACCAAACUUCAUGUACAGAUACUCCUGAGCAAAAUGGUGUUGCUGAAAGAAAAUAUAGGCAUAUUGUUGAAACUGCUCGUUCUCUCUUGUUGUCUGCUUUUGUUCCUAGUGAGUUUUGGGGAGAAGCUGUUCUUACUGCUGUAAGUUUGAUUAAUACGAUUCUAUCUUCUCAUAAUUCAGGUACUGGUACUUUACUCUCUAGCACAUCUAAAGCUCCAUUCUCAUCUACAACCCUUCAAGCUUCAUCUGAGAUUGUGGAUCCACCUCUACGUCAGUCCAUUCAUAUUCCAAGCUAUGGAUGAGGAACUUUCUGCUUUGCAUAAGACAAAUACUUGGGAUCUGGUUCCUCUACCUCCUGGUAAGAGUGUUGUUGGUUGUCGUUGGGUGUAUAAGAUCAAGACUAAUUCUGAUGGGUCUAUUGAGCGAUACAAAGUUAGGCUGGCUGCAAAAGGAUACUCUUAACAGUAUGGUAUGGACUAUGAGGAGACCUUUGCCCCGGUUGCAAAAAUGACUAAUAUUCAUAGUCUUAUUGUCGUAGCUUCGAUUCGUCAGUGGCAUAUUUCUCAGCUUGAUGUUAAAAAUACAUUCUUGAAUAGAGAUCUUAAAGAAGAAGUUUUUAUGGCACCCCUUCCUGGUAUUUCAUAUGACUCUGGAUAUGUUUGUAAGCUUAAGAAAGCAUUAUAUGGUCUCAAACAAGCACCCCGUGCUUGGUUUGAGAAAUUCUCUAUUGUGAUCUCAUCUCUUGACUUUGUUUCUAGCAGUCAUGAUUCUGCUCUUUUUAUUAAGUGCACUGAUGCAGGUCGUAACAUUCUGUCUUUAUAUGUUGAUGACAUGAUUAUUACUGGUGAUGACAUUGGUGGUAUUUCAGUUUUGAAGACCGAGUUGGCUAGACGAUUUGAGAUGAAGGAUUUGGGUUAUCUUCGAUAUUUCCUAGGUAUUGAGGUAGCAUACUCACCUAGAGGUUACCUUCUUUCCUAGUCUAAAUAUGUUGCAGAUAUUCUUGAGCGGGCUAGACUUACUGAUAACAAGACUGUAGAUACUCCUAUUGAGGUUAACGCGAGGUACUCUUCUUCUGAUGGUUUACCUUUGAUAGAUCCUACUUUAAACCGCACUAUUGUUGAGAGUUUGGUAUAUCUCACCAUUACUCGUCUAGAUAUUGCAUAUGUUGUUCAUGUUGUUAGUCAGUUUGUUGCUUCUCCUACUACUGUUCACUAGGCAGCUGUUCUUUGUAUUUUGCGAUAUCUUCGGGGUACAGUUUUUCAGAGUCUUUUACUUUCAUUCACCUCUUCCUUGGAGCUGUGUGCAUAUUCUAAUGCUGAUCAUGAUAGUGAUCCCACAGAUCGUAAGUCUGUUACCGGGUUUUGUAUUUUUUUAGGUGAUUCUCUUAUUUCUUGGAAGAGCAAGAAACAAUCUAUUAUUUUUCAAUCAUCUACCGAAGCAGAAUAUCGUGCCAUGACAUCUACUACCAAAGAGAUUGUUUGGUUAAGUUGGUUACUUGCUGAUAUGGGAGUUUCAUUUUCUCAUCUUACUCCUAUGUAUUGUGACAACCAGAGUUCUAUUCAGAUUGCUCACAACUCGGUUUUUCAUGAGUGGACUAAGUACAUUGAGAUUGAUUGUCAUCUUACUCGUCAUCAUCUUAAGCAUGGAACCAUUACUUUGCCUUUUGUUCCUUCUUCCUUGCAGAUUGCAGAUUUCUUUACCAAGACGCAUUCCAUCUCUCGUUUUUGUUUUCUGGUUGGCAAACUCUCGAUGCUUUGUAGCUGCCGCAUCGUGAGUUUGAGGGGAGAUGUUAAAUAAUAUUUAUGUAGUCUUAUUUAUUAAGGGUAGAAUAAUACUUUCAGUUUAACCUAUAUAUAUUUUAGUUGUAUUUAGGUUAAGACUAUGCAUUUCAUAAUAUAUAGAUUAUUCAGAAUUCUAGCCU